rnacentral:tRNA from 1 species
GGCGGCUUAGCUCAGUUGGUAGAGCAGCGGAAUCAUAAUCCGUCGGUCGGGGGAUCGUGGCCCUCAGCCGCCACCA